rnacentral:rRNA from 1 species
GAUGAACGCUGGCGGCGUGCCUAAUACAUGCAAGUCGAGCGAACAGACGAGGAGCUUGCUCCUUUGACGUUAGCGGCGGACGGGUGAGUAACACGUGGGUAACCUACCUAUAAGACUGGGAUAACUUCGGGAAACCGGAGCUAAUACCGGAUAAUAUUUCGAACCGCAUGGUUCGAUAGUGAAAGAUGGCUUUGCUAUCACUUAUAGAUGGACCUGCGCCGUAUUAGCUAGUUGGUAAAGUAACGGCUUACCAAGGCAACGAUACGUAGCCGACCUGAGAGGGUGAUCGGCCACACGGGAACUGAGACACGGUCCAGACUCCUACGGGAGGCAGCAGUAGGGAAUCUUCCGCAAUGGGCGAAAGCCUGACGGAGCAACGCCGCGUGAGUGAUGAAGGUCUUCGGAUCGUAAAACUCUGUUAUUAGGGAAGAACAAACGUGUAAGUAACUGUGCACGUCUUGACGGUACCUAAUCAGAAAGCCACGGCUAACUACGUG